ACACGAACCGUCCGAACGUUAUUCGGAAUCACAGGGCUUAAAGGGUGCGUAGGCGGUGCGGUAAGUUGGGUGUGAAAUCCCUCGGCUCAACCGAGGAACUGCGCCCAAUACUGCCGUACUUGAGGGAGACAGAGGUAAGCGGAACUGAUGGUGGAGCGGUGAAAUGCGUUGAUAUCAUCGGGAACACCGGUGGCGAAAGCGGCUUACUGGGUCUCUUCUGACGCUGAGGCACGAAAGCUAGGGGAGCGAACGGGAUUAGAAACCCCAGUAGUCC
rnacentral:rRNA from 1 species